GUGGGGAAUCUUGCGCAAUGGGCGAAAGCCUGACGCAGCCAUGCCGCGUGAAUGAUGAAGGUCUUAGGAUUGUAAAAUUCUUUCACCGGGGACGAUAAUGACGGUACCCGGAGAAGAAGCCCCGGCUAACUUCGUGCCAGCAGCCGCGGUAAUACGAAGGGGGCUAGCGUUGCUCGGAACUACUGGGCGUAAAGGGCGCGUAGGCGGACAGUUUAGUCAGAGGUGAAAGCCCAGGGCUCAACCUUGGAAUUGCCUUUGAUACUGGCUGUCUUGAGUACGGGAGAGGUGAGUGGAACUCCGAGUGUAGAGGUGAAAUUCGUAGAUAUUCGGAAGAACACCAGUGGCGAAGGCGACUCACUGGCCCGUUACUGACGCUGAGGCGCGAAAGCGUGGGGAGCAAACAGGAUUAGAAACCCUAGUAGUCC
rnacentral:rRNA from 1 species